UGAGUUGAAGAAAAUAUCUGCCUGGAGAGAGAGGAAAGACUAGUAGUAUAAUAAGGACCUAGUACAAGUGCAAGGAGCACCACCUCCAUGGCUUCCUAGUAGUAACUAGUAACCAGUUCCUGCCUCCUGCUCGAGGCUGAGGCCUGCUAAGAAAUACAUGGUUCAAAUCCUAGCCAAAAACAAAAGUCACUAACCUUUCACACCAUCGAACAUGGAGACCUGAUCAUCCAUGGAGAGUGGCAAGUGGGUGAGAGUAAGGCAGCUGACCAUGGAAGAAGUCAAGAGAAGUAGCCAGGUGAGGAUUAACCACAUCGAAAAGAAGAAACUUUUCAGUAGUCAAGACCUGCAAGGAGAAAGCGUGCUUGUUGAGGGAGAGAGUGAAGCUAAACA
rnacentral:lncRNA from 1 species